rnacentral:misc_RNA from 1 species
GUUUUAGAAAGCCAAAAUAAAUUUAGCCUUGUUUUAAAAUCAACAUAAUAUCAGUCAAAAAAAUGUCAGGGUCAUGAUAACUCGAGUGCCCUCGAAAGGACACCCGAUUUCAUUCAAAAAAAACAGUGCACAGGAAUGUAGAUGCGAGAACCCCUCUUUUCAGAGAAAUUGCUCGUCAUAAACAGUAAUGAUCCUUCCGCAGGUUCACCUACGGAAA